CUUCGACUCAUGUCCCUGGCUAGGGCUGAGAUUUCUAGGAGGAGAAAUACAGGUGGAAAUGAGCAGCUCUAUGUUAUGACAAAUCAGUCGACGAGUAUCUAUUCUCCACCUCCUUGGUGUCUGGCGCUGUGUGAGGCACAGGCAGCGUAAGGGUGAAUAAGGUACAAAGAACCCUGCUGUCACUGAGCUGUUAGCUGAGAAGGUAGAGAGGACAUGAAGCCAAUCAUUACAAGGCAUCCCAAAAGAUAAAUGAACAAGUGGCAUGGAGUUGUGGCCACGCUUGUGGAGUAUGAGCUCAGGCUAUUCCCCUUCAAAUACUGAUUCAAGACGACAGGAGAUGAUCUUGAGCAGGAUGCAGAAGUUUCUGAGCCUGAAUUUCCCUAAUUGUAAAAUGGGAGAAUUUCUAGUAGCUCCCUGAAAGCACUGAAUGAGAAGUAAAUGUAUUAAUACUUGUA
rnacentral:lncRNA from 1 species